AUAUAUGAGAUAUUUACGACAUGUCAAAAUGAGCGGGAAACCUUCUCUAAAGGAAUGGUAAUCGAUUAACCACCAAGGUAAUCGAUUAACCGAAGUUCCAGAGAGCAAAGGUAAUCGAUUAACCAUUUUGGUAACAGAUUAACCGAAGUUCCAGAGAACUAAAGUAAUCGACUAACCAAUGAUGUAAUCGAUUAACCAAAGUUCUAGAGAACCAAGGUAAUCGAAUAACCAGACGGUAUAAUCGAUUAACCAAAGUUCUAGAGAACCAAGGUAAUCGAAUAACCAAAAAGGUGUAAUCGAUUAACCAAAGUUUCAGAGAACCAUGGUAAUCGACUAACCAAUAGGUGUAAUCGAUUAACCCAGUUCUAGUGACAUAUUUGGACAUCCAAAGCUUAUCUCCUUUCACUCCAAACGAUCUAAUCUUUUUAGAGGAGGCUCUUGACAUAUUUGGACAUCUAUAAAUAGGUCUUUAGGAUCCUCAUUUAAAAACACACAACACAUAUACCAAAAACUAAGGAUUGAACUCUUGCACUUUCAUAUCAAAGUGAAAUCAUAAGUUUCCAAACUUUCAUACUUGGCAUAUUUCAUUCUCUAAAUGCUCUUAUUCUGAACUUUCAUAUAAGUUUAAGACACUUAAAGAGAAAUUAAGAAACCAUACUCUUUUACAUCAUAAGGGUUUCUUAACUUUGAAAGAUUGCGUGAUCUACAAAAGUUCUUGAUUGUAGAAUUGUGAUUGCUAUACUUAAGAUAAGCUUUGUAUAGAUAAAAAGCAAUCACAUAAGCCAAGUCUAUUAUUCUUCGUCUUUGUAAUAUUCCUUGCGGGGAAGUGUGACUUUACUAAGGUUGGUAAAAGGGUGAACAAAGUGUGAAGUAGGAAACGCCGAAGGGAACCGGGAAGGUUAGUAGGGUUACUACUGUCACCUUCGCCAAGUUUGAGAUAGUGAGUGUUGAAGGAAACCGAGAAGGUUAGUAAGACUACUAUUGUAAACUUGUCUGUUCAUAGUGAAAAUCUCUUGUGCGGCAAGAGGACUGGACGUACCCCGGGUUGGGUGAACCAGUAUAAAUCUUUGUGUCAUCUUCUCUUCCCUUACUCUUUUACUUCCGUGCAUUUAUCUCUUUAUAGCUCUAACAAUAUUUCGAGUACUUUUCCGCUGCAAAUAAAGUUUAAUUUAUAAUCUCGAAAAACUUGUUAAGAAGCGAAGAAAACUAAUUCACUCCCCUCUUAGUUGCCUGCAGAGACUUACAUAUUUUGUGGUUUCUCUUUGAUUGCUAUGUAUGCUAUCUCUGCUGAAAAAUGGGGAAUCAGUUCCGUCCCUUUUUGGUGUGUUGCAUCUAUCUUUUUAUAAGAUUUGGGUUUAUGGGAAACCUUUGGAUUGCUGAGUGAGUAACGUUCAUGGUUACUC
rnacentral:lncRNA from 1 species